rnacentral:tRNA from 1 species
GGCCCCGUAGCUCAGGGGGAGAGCGUUCGCCUCACACGCGAAAGGUCGUUGGUUCAAUUCCAACCGGGGCCA